rnacentral:rRNA from 1 species
GAAUUCACUAGUGAUUAGGCCUAACACAUGCAAAAAAAAAGAACCCUUCGGGGUGAGCGGCGGACGGGUGAGUAACGCGUGGGUAACCUGCCCUAUACACACGNGAUAACGUACCAAAAGGUACGCUAAUACGAGAUAACAUAUUUUUAUCGCAUGGUAGAAAUAUCAAAGCUCCGGCGGUAUAGGAUGGACCCGCGUCUGAUUAGCUAGUUGGUAAGGUAAUGGCUUCGCAAGGCGACGAUCAGUAGCCG